GUUCCUGCGCCGGUGGGGCGGGGCGCGGCGCUGCAGAGGGUUACCUGUAUGCGCGGCGCGGAAGACGGUUCCCCAUGGGCGCAGAGACGUCGGAGCGCCUCCGCCGGCACACGGCGUGUCUCUGGUUCCUCUGCCUGCAGACCUGAAGAAGAGCCGCAGCGACUCGGCGGGACCCUCUUGCUGAAAAGACUGUUAAUCACCCUACGCAGAAGGGUGGAAAGGAAUCAAGGGCUGGCGUGGUCAUCAUUGUCCCUUUUCCGGAAAAAUCAAGCGUAACGACCUGAAAAUAGAAAUCUAGAGUUUAGGCAGUGGUAAAUGUGGGACAGACAACCGUCAUGACUCCUUUUGGACCUGAGGCCCUCCAUAUUGUCGGGACACCUGGGCCCUUGCUCGGCCUUUGCCAUUAGUCAGGCAUCAUUCACGACAAUAUUUGAGAUUUCCGUGGCUGAGCCUCUGCUACUGAAGCCUCUCGUGGCCGGAUAGAUUUCAAAGUCACGAAAGGUAAAGAAAAAAGAAUAUUUACAUGUGAUUGGCGUUUCAAAUGUUCAUAGAAUGGUGGGGACAGAGCCUGCAUCCCACAGAAUAAAGCAAUGAGAAGAUGGUGAGGAAAUGGAAAUUCUCCCUAAGUGGGCACAGCAGCAUGAAGGGACCUGUGAACGCUCUCAGAAGGGGCUUGCCCCUCUCUACACGUUGGGCGUUUGCAGAAACCUGAAAGAGAAUGGCUUAACGA
ensembl:lncRNA